CCUACGGGUGGCUGCAGUCGAGAAUCAUUCACAAUGGGGGAAACCCUGAUGGUGCGACGCCGCGUGGGGGAAUGAAGGUCUUCGGAUUGUAAACCCCUGUCAUGUGGGAGCAAAUUAAAAAGAUAGUACCACAAGAGGAAGAGACGGCUAACUCUGUGCCAGCAGCCGCGGUAAUACAGAGGUCUCAAGCGUUGUUCGGAAUCACUGGGCGUAAGGCGUGCGUAGGCUGUUUCGUAAGUCGUGUGUGAAAGGCGCGGGCUCAACCCGCGGACGGCACAUGAUACUGCGAGACUAGAGUAAUGGAGGGGGAACCGGAAUUCUCGGUGUAGCAGUGAAAUGCGUAGAUAUCGAGAGGAACACUCGUGGCGAAGGCAGCAUACCGGCGCUCAACUGACGCUCAUACACGAAAGCGUGGGUAUCGAACAGGAUUAGAUACCCUUGUAGUC
rnacentral:rRNA from 1 species